UGACCGGAGGUCUUCUCCCUCUGUGCCGCUGCUUGGCACCGGGCCAGCGCACCAAUUGUGCGCACCGGCUAUUUAAGCUGAGGUGCCAAACUGGGUCCCUCCCAUUUCCGCUUCUCCUGUGGUGGCUGCAGCUUGGCGUAAUAACGCAAAUUGUUUGGCGGGGCAGCAUUCAAGUCCUACUCUCUACCGGACAGGUAAAGCACGGUGCAGUCUGUCAUUUAUUCAUGGUCACAAGCUACACACUGCUGACACUUUCCCAUUUUAGCGCAGCUGACGUCCAGGGCGUUAGGGGAGGCAUUGCUCUGCCAGAGGUUCCGUGAUAGCGGCGUUGCACACUGUUGCAGGAUUUGGCCGUGGGAUUUGCGGGUCUCAUUCCCUCCCUUGUCGGCUCUGUGGCUGCACAGGGUGGGGUGUUCUAAGCAUUCUCUCUCCCCACCUUUGGCCAUCAUUCCCAUCCCGUGCUGCUGUUUUGGCUCUGUGUGUUUUGGGCUCUCUGUGAGCUUCG